rnacentral:rRNA from 1 species
GACGACCGCUGGCGGCGUGCCUAAUACAUGCAAGUCGAACGAGUGGCGGACGGGUGAGUAACACGUGGGAACCUACCCAUCAGAGGGGGAUAACUACUCGAAAGAGAGGCUAAUACCGCAUACUAUUGGAGCGGCCGAUAUCGGAUUAGCUAGUUGGUGGGGAAAAGGCUCACCAAGGCAACGAUCCGUAGCUGGUUUGAGAGGACAACCAGCCACACUGGGACUGAGACACGGCCCAGACUCCUACGGGAGGCAGCAGUGGGGAAUUUUGGACAAUGGGGGAAACCCUGAUCCAGCCAUCCCGCGUGUAUGAGAAGGCCCUAGGGUUGUAAAGUACUUUCAGUCGGGAGGCGUUACCGACAGAAGAAGCACCGGCUAACUCCGUGCCAGCAGCCGCGGUAAUUC